ACCUCCACCAGUAGCAAACAAGAUGUGCCUGAGUUUGAAUCACAGUUUCUUUCUAUGGAUUCUUUUGAAUCUAAACCAUUAAAGGGAUUGAAAAUUGGUUUCAUUCACGAGAAGCUUGAAGAAGGUGUUCAUUCCGGAGUGAGAUCUGCAACUGAGGAAGCUGCUUCUCAUUUAGAAGGAUUGGAUUGUGUACUAACAUAGGUUAAUGUGAAUCUUGCGGGGCUUCCUGCGAUUGUAUUACCAUGUGGAUUAGUUGAAAGAGGUUCCUCGGGUCUACCGGUUGGUCUUCAAAUGAUUGGUGCAGACUUUGAUGAGGAGAAAUUGCUGAAAGUUAGUCACAUAUUUGAACAGACUCUCAAAGAUUCAGGCUUUGUUUCUUCAACGUUACCAAAUGUAGCCUGCACAUGAAGGUUCUGUUUUUUUUUUUGCGUUUUACUUUCACGCUUUAUUUAGGCAAAGCGAAUUAAUUUUUUAAAUUCUGUUAAAUACUAUUGCAAUUGCAUUCAUGCACUUGAUCCUUUUAGUCUUGUGAACAAAACGGUUGUUUCACUAUAUAAGUAGAGCCAAAACCAAUA